GACGAACGCUGGCGGUGUGCUUAACACAUGCAAGUGGUGCGACGAACCAGAGCUUGCUCUGGGGCAAAGCCGCGAACGGGUGAGUAACACGUGGGUAAUCUACCCCGAUGACCGGGACAACCCGAGGAAACUCGGGCUAAUACCGGAUGUGGUACGGAGACAUAAGUCUCUUUACUAAAGGUAGCUUCGGCUUCCGCAUUGGGAGGGGCCCGCGGCCCAUUAGCUAGUUGGUGGGGUCAAGGCCUACCAAGGCAACGAUGGGUAGCUGGUCUGAGAGGACGAUCAGCCACACUGGGACUGAGACACGGCCCAGACUCCUACGGGAGGCAGCAGUGGGGAAUCUUGCGCAAUGCGCGAAAGCGUGACGCAGCAACACCGCGUGAGGGAAGACGGCCUUAGGGUUGUAAACCUCUUUCAGAUGGGACGAAGGUGAUGCGGUGAAUAGCCGAUGUCAUUGACAGUACCGUCAGAAGAAGCUCCGGCUAACUACGUGCCAGCAGCCGCGGUAA
rnacentral:rRNA from 1 species